GACGAACGCUGGCGGCGUACCUAAUACAUGCAAGUCGAGCGGACUUUCAAGAAGCUUGCUUUUUGAAAGUUAGCGGCGGACGGGUGAGUAACACGUGGGCAACCUGCCUGUAAGACGGGGAUAACUCCGGGAAACCGGGGCUAAUACCGGAUAAUAUCUUUCUUCGCAUGAAGGAAGGUUGAAAGGCGGCGCAAGCUGCCGCUUGCAGAUGGGCCCGCGGCGCAUUAGCUAGUUGGUGAGGUAACGGCCCACCAAGGCGACGAUGGGUAGCCGACCUGAGAGGGUGAUCGGCCACACUGGGACUGAGACACGGCCCAGACUCCUACGAGAGGCAGCAGUAGGGAAUCUUCCGCAAUGGACGAAAGUCUGACGGAGCAACGCCGCGUGAGCGAAGAAGGUCUUCGGAUCGUAAAGCUCUGUUGUCAGGGAAGAACAAGUACCGUUCGAAUAGGGCGGUACCUUGACGGUACUUGACCAGAAAGCCACGGCUAACUACGUGCCAGCAGCCGCGGUAA
rnacentral:rRNA from 1 species